rnacentral:rRNA from 1 species
UACAGAGGUCUCAAGCGUUGUUCGGAUUCAUUGGGCGUAAAGGGUGCGUAGGCGGUAUUGCAAGUCGGAUGUGAAAUCUUGGGGCUCAACCCCAAAACUGCAUUCGAUACUGCGGUGCUCGAGGACUGGAGAGGAGACUGGAAUUCACGGUGUAGCAGUGAAAUGCGUAGAUAUCGUGAGGAAGGCCAGUGGCGAAGGCGGGUCUCUGGACAGUUCCUGACGCUGAGGCACGAAGGCCAGGGGAGCAAACGGG